UACAGAGGUCUCAAGCGUUGUUCGGAUUCAUUGGGCGUAAAGGGUGUGUAGGUGGCGCCGUAAGUCGGGUGUGAAAUUUCGGAGCUUAACUCCGAAACUGCAUUCGAUACUGCGGUGCUUGAGGACUGGAGAGGAGACUGGAAUUUACGGUGUAGCAGUGAAAUGCGUAGAUAUCAGGAGGAACACCGGUGGCGAAGGCGGGUCUCUGGGCCGAUAUUGACGCUGAGGAGCGAAAGCGUGGGGAGCGAACAGG
rnacentral:rRNA from 1 species